rnacentral:lncRNA from 1 species
CAGAAAGGAAACACAAAAUAUAUGACCUAGCAACCUGACCAGGGUUAAAUGUUAUAGUCACCCAAACUACGGACAUUUUCGCAUCCGUCUACUCCCACGUUCUAAGAGAGUGACAGAAAGGUAAAGAGGAGCAGCCGCAGAAAUGGAUACAGGUCAAGUCUAAGUCGAAUCCAUCCUCUUGAUAUCUCCUUUUGUUUCUGCUAACGAUCUCUUUGAUGAUGGCUGUCAUGUCUGGGAGCCUGUGGCUGAAGAAAAAGGAGGAGAGAGAUGGCAGAAGCUGCUGGUGGCGGGGCUUCUUCUGCAGGAUGGAAAUGGCUCUGGACUUGGCGGUAGCUGAUGCCCCUCGCUCUGCCGCCGCUUGGCUCUGGACCGCAGCCGGGUAAUGGCUGCUGCGGCGGCUGCUGGAUGGUUGCAGCGACUGGGCCUGCUUCUCCUCAGCAGCCAGAGGCCUGGCAGUAGAAGGGGAGAGACCAACUCUCCGGCGUUCCCAGCCCUGGAAAUGGUGACAGGCGACUCAGACCCCCUCCCUGGAGCUGCAGCCGCCGCGGCCGCCGCCGCCGCCGCUUCUCCCCCCCGCUCCAGGAGCGGGAGGUGCCGCCGCCGCCGCCGCGCCUCAGCCGGCUCCCGCCCGAGCCCACGGCUUCCACCUUCCCUUUCAGGAGAAGCCGAGGAAGAGGCUGCACGGUUAGAAAAGACGAAGAGGAGGCGAGAAACGCCGCCGCUGCCGCCGCCGCAGGCCGGCCGGCUCCCCGAGGGCGCUGCCCCCGCGGCUGCUCACAGGCGCUGAGAGGGGCUCCGGGCCGCGGCCGCCGCCGUCUCUCAUCUCCCUCGCCUGAGCCCGGCCUCGCCUCACAGCGGCUCAACUCUCAAACUUCCAUCAUGGCUGCAGCUUCCGAGAGGAG